GACGAACGCUGGCGGCGUGCUUAACACAUGCAAGUCGAGCGGAAAGGCCACUUCGGUGGUACUCGAGCGGCGAACGGGUGAGUAACACGUGAGUAAUCUGCCCUUGGCUUUGGGAUAGCCACCGGAAACGGUGAUUAAUACCGGAUACGACCACUUCUCGCAUGGGAUGGGGGUGGCAAGUUUUUCGGCCAGGGAUGUGCUCGCGGCCUAUCAGCUUGAUGGUGAGGUAAUGGCGCACCAUGGCUUAGAAGGGUAGCCGGCCUGAGAGGGUGACCGGGCACACUGGGACUGAGACACGGCCCAGACUCCUACGGGAGGCAGCAGUGGGGAAUAUUGGACAAUGGGCGGAAGCCUGAUCCAGCAACGCCGCGUGAGGGAUGACGGCCUUCGGGUUGUAAACCUCUUUCGGUAGGGACGAAGCGUGAGUGACGGUACCUACUAAAGAAGCACCGGCCAACUACGUGCCAGCCGCCGCGGUAAAAC
rnacentral:rRNA from 1 species